rnacentral:rRNA from 1 species
UACGAAGGGGGCUAGCGUUGUUCGGAAUUACUGGGCGUAAAGCGCGCGCAGGCGGUUUUCCAAGUCAGUGGUGAAAGCCCGGAGCUCAACUCCGGAACUGCCAUUGAAACUGGCGAACUUGAGUACGAGAGAGGUGGGUGGAAUUCCCAGUGUAGAGGUGAAAUUCGUAGAUAUUGGGAAGAACACCGGUGGCGAAGGCGGCUCACUGGCUCGUAACUGACGCUCAGGCGCGACAGCGUGGGGAUCAAACAGG